UUGAAAUCCUUUAGAUGUUGCUGGCCUCUUGGGGCAUGUGCACUCUGCCUUUUCAUCUCACCUGUGAACUCAUUGUAGGCCAGAUUUGUUUUUACAAAUCUGUGUCUAUGUUAUUUUACACACACACAUACAAGUCUAUCAGAAUGUCUUUCAAAGACCCUUUAGUGGUCAAAAAAAAUUAAUA
rnacentral:misc_RNA from 1 species